AACGAACGCUGGCGGCAGGCCUAACACAUGCAAGUCGAGCGAAGCCUUCGGGCUUAGCGGCGGACGGGUGAGUAACGCGUGGGAACGUGCCCUUUGGUACGGAAUAGCCCCGGGAAACUGGGAGUAAUACCGUAUGUGGUCGAGAGACGAAAGAUUUAUCGCCAAAGGAUCGGCCCGCGUUGGAUUAGGUAGUUGGUGGGGUAAUGGCCUACCAAGCCGACGAUCCAUAGCUGGUUUGAGAGGAUGAUCAGCCACACUGGGACUGAGACACGGCCCAGACUCCUACGGGAGGCAGCAGUGGGGAAUCUUAGACAAUGGGGGAAACCCUGAUCUAGCCAUGCCGCGUGAUCGAUGAAGGCCUUAGGGUUGUAAAGAUCUUUCAGUGGGGAAGAUAAUGACUGUACCCACAGAAGAAGCCCCGGCUAACUCCGUGCCAGCCGCCGCAGUAA
rnacentral:rRNA from 1 species